GAGAUUGAGCUAACAUGACACCUAAUUGACCAAUCAAAUAUAUGGCACGUCAUAGGUUAAUAUAUGGCACGACAUACGCUUCAUUAGCAUUUUAAUAAUAGUAAACGCUAUGACGAUAUUUUCCAAAAUAUAAAAUAUAAAAAAAACAAGAAUAUGAAAAUAUAAAAAAAUGUUUCUUCUUCUCUCAAGAUCUAAUAACUAUUGAGGGAUUUUUCUUCCCGCCGUAUCUCUCUUCAAUCCUCUGUC
rnacentral:lncRNA from 1 species